rnacentral:rRNA from 1 species
CACGUAGGGCGCAAGCGUUGUCCGGAAUUAUUGGGCGUAAAGAGCUCGUAGGCGGUCUGUUACGUCUGCUGUGAAAACCCAGGGCUUAACCCUGGGCUUGCAGUGGAUACGGGCAGACUAGAGGCAGGUAGGGGAGAAUGGAAUUCCCGGUGUAGCGGUGAAAUGCGCAGAUAUCGGGAGGAACACCGGUGGCGAAGGCGACUUCCUGGCCUGUUCUUGACGCUGAGGCGCGAAAGCUAGGGGAGCAAACGGG